UACGUAGGGUGCAAGCGUUGUCCGGAAUUAUUGGGCGUAAAGAGCUCGUAGGCGGUCUGUCGCGUCGAAUGUGAAAACCCGGGGCUCAAACCCCGGGCCUGCAUUCGAUACGGGCAGACUAGAGUUCGGUAGGGAGUCGUGGAAUUCCUGGAUGUAGCGGUGAAAUGCGCAGAUAUCAGGAGGAACACCGGUGGCGAAGGCGGGACUCUGGGCCGAUACUGACGCUGAGGAGCGAAAGCGUGGGGAGCAAACAGG
rnacentral:rRNA from 1 species